rnacentral:rRNA from 1 species
UACGUAGGGACCGAGCGUUGUCCGGAAUCAUUGGGCGUAAAGAGCGUGUAGGCGGCUAUUUAAGUCCUGCGUGGAAUCCUGCGGCUCAACCGCAGACGGUCGUGGGAAACUGGAUGGCUAGAGUGCGGGAGAGGAGAGUGGAAUUCCCGGUGUAGCGGUGAAAUGCGCAGAUAUCGGGAAGAACACCCGUGGCGAAGGCGGCCCUCUGGAACGCAACUGACGCUGAGACGCGAAAGCGUGGGGAGCAAACAGG